rnacentral:lncRNA from 1 species
AGUCUGGGUCUGAGCUGAAACCUGCUGCAAGUCUGACGGUACCAAAUUACAUAUAUAUCUGUCAAAAUGAUGUAGGACCUAAAGUCUCUCUGUAAGUUGAUCCUUUUGACCCCAUGAUUAGGAGCUUCACAAUGUGGUACCACACCUGGAAACCUCCAGAACAAGAUCUCAAGGAAACACAGGAAAUUCCUGAAACAGCAAAACCCCCUAUGUGAAGACGUCUGUUAUUCCUUUGUGUAUCAGGAGCAUCACUGUUAAUUAACUGUUGAUACACUUAAAACAGCUUGGUUGGCAAUGUCCUUUUUGAAUAAAGAAGAGCCAGGUGUGUUUUUCAGGAUGAACUAGACAAUGCUGUCACAAGUUUACCUCUACAUCUUAUUGCCUUGGAAAAAUUUCCUGCAUAUCGUGGCACAAGAUGGUUGGCUCUCCAGGCAGCAGUUGGCGUUGUGAAUCAGUCAUCUCAGCAUGUGUCUCCAAGAUCCCACAGCAGGGGGAAAAAGAGGUGGAGGGUCACAUGCCUGGUGUUACAUACUUUGAGGCAGAGGUGGUAGGUGCCAUUUCUGCUCACAGCUCAUGGACCAGAACAAAGCCAUGCAUACCUGAGAGAGGACCAGAAAAUAUUCUGAAGCAGAUGGCUAUUUGGUCCGUGUUCUGACUAAAAGGAAGCCACACUCUGUCGAAAACAAGCUUUGUAAGAAAAUUUUGAAGUAUUUACUUAUAUCUAACCAUUCAUUCCACCUUUUCUCCCAAAUAACACUCUAAUAUCUUGAGACAUCUUGUCUAGGGCCAGAUUUCAUAAAUGCUUGUGAGGCAGGAGAAUAAGUUCCAGAGGCAGUUCACACUGCCUAAAGCCAAUUCACACUGACUUCCUAUAACUAAAUCUAAAGGAAAAUCUCAACUUUCCUCGCCCAAGUAACAAAAGAAUCAGAGGUUAUACUCCCUUUGCAACCUGCCCCUUUUCUGCCUGGCAGAUGAAAAAUGAAAAGUACCUAUGACUGGUCCCCUCCCACGACCAGCCAGACUGGUCACGGAUCACUACUUCAUUUACAUAGGGCGUAAACCGAGUAACCAAUGGGAAACCUCUAGAGGGUAUUUAAACCCCAGAAAAUUCUGUAACCGGUGGUCUCCAGCAGGUUGCUCAAUCUUGCUGCCACUCUGUGGGAUGUACUUUUGUUUCAAUAAAUCUGUGCUCU